rnacentral:misc_RNA from 1 species
UGUCUAUGGCUAUGUCUGAAGGCGAUGCUCUCUGAUUAUACAAAGAAACUCUUUAUUUACUUUUCGUUAAAAUCAGAAUCUCGCUUGGGGAUAAAGACGAGGCAUUGUGUUCAGUGUUUCAUGAACACGAAUAUCGAUAUAGAGGAAAAGAAAAGAAAGACGAAUUUGCACAAUUUUCACAAGUCUACUUUAUCUUUAUCUUAGACGAAAAAUGUCUGACGGUAUGGAGCGAGAGAAAAGUGAAAGGUUAACUGCGAGGGAAAUCGAGGAAGAGGAAAUGAAACGUGAACUUACGGGUAUUGGGAUAUACGAGCCAGGAAUUACUUAUAAAGAAAUGAAAAGACUACUCGAAUUUGUUAACGAGUCUCAAGAUACAUCGAACGUUACUUCCAAUAAUAAAAAUACGCAGCAGGCAAUACAACAUUCCGAUAAUGAAUGCCUAUCAGAUGUUACAUCUGACAUAAACGUGCAGCAAGGAGUGACUUUGCAGAAGUGUACAGAUAUGCCAAAACCAUCAUAUUCGUACAAAUUGAAUCAUACGCCUCCAACUAUGCACGAACGUAGAGUCGUUCAUUAUAUCAACAGUCCGGAAUCUUCGCCCCUUCUUUUUGAAGUACGAAGUCCUAUUUACAAGAACUCUGAUGAUGAGCAAUUCGAGAAACAGUGCGAUAACUCCAAUUCACACACUACAAAUCGAUAUUUCUCGUUGAGAUUGGAAAAUGUUUCGCGGGGAUGCCAGAAUGCGACGGAGAAAAGAACGCAGGACACGCAAAAUGAAAUUGUCCAAAAACUGGAAAGAUGGCGAUUGAAUCCGCUCGAUAUUUGCAUCAACGAUAACGACGUGCCUUUGCGACAGCCAAAUAGAUCUUUAGCUCGAGAGCGUAUGCCGUUUGAGCAUUGUAAAGAAGCGCACAUGUCCGAUCAGUGUGACCGAGUAAUACGAUCUAUGAACCAGCAUUUGAAGGAAAUGGCAAACUUGUGGUACAAUUGGCGCCCCAUUAUCAAUCCGAUAUUUCAAUGGGGGUCACCCAUUCAGGUCAGCACCGCUAACAGUAGUUUGGAUAAAAAACCAUUAACAAAUCCUAAAACUGAACAGAUCCAAGCAGAAUGUAUAUACCGAGACGGUUAUGAGCGAGCUAGUAAACGUAAGGCGAAUACUCUCAUCGCUACUCUGAAUAGAGACAGUUCCUCUGAGAACGAAGACGAUAAUCAAUACGACUUUACUCGUAAUAAAAAAAAGAGAAUUCAAUCGAAUAAUGUAGAAUAUAUUGAGAAUCAGCAUGCGCAUGCUAGUUAUAAGAAAGAAAACGUGAUUGCAGGUAAUUCUUUCAGCGAUGAUAAUAGCAAUACGAAUAUUGACAAUGAGUAUGUUAAACAUUCACGCUCGCCUGAAUUAACUGCGUAUCCUAGAAGAAUAAGACCUCCCAAUCCUCAAACGCGUUUAAGUCUGGCUAGAAAAAGAAAGGAAAACGCUACAUCGAAACUAUUUCCAAAGACGCAAUGUGAGAAUAAAAAUGUUGAACAGGCAAGAAAUCAAAAGAAAGACAAUACAAUGACAGAAGAAGAAAUUCGUCGUCAACUAGAAGAAGAUUGGAGUAAUGACGAGGAAAAGGUGUGUACGAGGGAAAAGGAUGCGAAGUUUCCGAAGUUGCCGAUGUUGAAAGAAGUACGAUAUAGAUUACGAGACAAACGAUUGUCAUUAAACAAAAAAGCGAAAGAGGCGCGGGCAGCGGUGAAGGAGGAGAAAAGCGAUGAGGAACAAAAUAAGAUAAAGAGAAUGAAGCUUUGCGAACGACGAAAGGUAGAAGAAUUAUGUAGGAUAGAUAAUAGAAACGGAAGUUGGGAGCAUGAACUAUUGUCUGAUGAGGAUAAAUCAUCUGAGAUGAAUCAACAGUUUGAUUUUCAGAAUGGUAAUCGAUCCAAUAAUGUACUUAUUUCGACAAACAAUGUAAAUUGUCCUAUCUGCAAUAAAUGUUUUCCACAUAAUGAGAUAGAGAAUCAUGCCGCCGAUUGCGAACAAUUUGAGAUUAAUAACGAAGAAGAUGAUAAUGAAAGGAUUCAAUUCGAAUGUAAUAUAUGCAGCAAUUACAAGACAAACAAUGGAAAAGAAUAUGAAGAACAUGUUUAUCAAUGUAUAAAUAUUAAGAAUAAUCAAAGACGUUCACAUGGUUUUUAAGAUCGAAGAUUUCGAAUUUAUAGUCGGAAUUUCAAAAUUUACCAAUACAGAGGAGCGUUUGGAUUUUAAGUGAUUCGAAGAGGGGCUCCGAAGACAUCAAUAUCACCUCUACCUCAUCGAUCAAAACCAAUCAAUGAAUAGAAAGAUUC